CGUCUCAGCAGUUGAGUCGAAGAGAUCCUGUGGAGUACGGGCACACACGCCACCGACCCACCAGCUAUGAAGGUUCUCAUCGUUCUCGCCGUUGCCUGUGCCGCCGCUCACGCCGGUUUCAUCGGUGGUGGCCAUGGAGGAACUUCUACCCAGCACCGUUCUCAAGAUAUCUCCGGCGCCUACAGCUUCGGCUACAA